AAGACUAUACUUUCAGGGAUCAUUUCUAUAGUCCGUUACUAGAGAAGGUUCUCUGAACGUGUAGGGUACCGAUAAACCACGAGGAGGAGAAGUAGUGUUUUCUCCUGAGCGUGAAUUUGGCUAUUGGUGUUGUUUUAUAGCAGCUGCCUUUGGCCAUUGAUGAUCGUUCUUCUUUUCCUUAUGGAAGAGUAAGAGGGAGAGAACACAGUCUGAGUGGU